rnacentral:rRNA from 1 species
UACGGGGGGGGCAAGCGUUGUUCGGAAUUACUGGGCGUAAAGGGCGCGUAGGCGGCCUGCUAAGUCGGAUGUGAAAUCCCUCGGCUCAACCGAGGAACUGCAUCCGAUACUGGCGGGCUUGAAUCCGGGAGAGGGAUGUGGAAUUCCAGGUGUAGCGGUGAAAUGCGUAGAUAUCUGGAGGAACACCGGUGGCGAAGGCGGCAUCCUGGACCGGUAUUGACGCUGAGGCGCGAAAGCUAGGGGAGCAAUCGGG